UUGCUGGAUAAAAAGGAUAACCUGAGAAAGUUCCGAACCAAAAAAGAGAAAAGGAAGGAAGGAAGGAAGGAAGGAGAGAGAGAACGAGAGAGAUCCGAGGAACAGCAAAUCCGUUAAUCAUCUCUUCAUUAUAUGCUGAAAAAUUUGAAUGAGAAGUUGCACAGUGAAAGACAUGGAGAAGAAAAUUCCAUUUGGAUACAGCAUUAGCAGAUAGAACAUGGGGAGCCGCUCAAGGGGAAACACUGCUUCUUUGUUGGCUUUGAAGCUGGAGGACAGAAACAAGAGACAAGGAAUAUGCGUGGCCUUGAGAAACUAGAAACAGUCUUCUGUUCACAGCCAACAAAGAAAGGGGAGCUUCAAACUUAACAACCGUAAGUAGCUGAAUCCUGCCAAUAACCCAGAUGAAGAAGGAAAUGGAUCCUCCCCUCAAACCUCCAAAUAGACAGCCCAAUGACACAUCUGAUUUCAGCCUGAUGAGACUUAUACUGUAUUUCCGAUCUAUAGAACUGUCAGGUAAUAGAUUUUUUUAAGUGUACUAAUUUUCAGGGUACUGUAUUGCUCGGGCUGGCAUAAAAAAUACCAUACAUCAGGUGUCUUAAACAACAGACAUGUGUUUCUCAAAGUUUUAGAGGCCGGGCAGUCCAAGAUCAAGGUACCAGCGGAUUCAGUUCCUUGUGAGAGUUCUCUGCUGGCUCAUAGAAGGCCACCCUUUCACCACAUCCUCACAUGGAAGAGAAAGCAAGUUCUGAUGUUUCUUUCUCUUCUUAUAGGAACAGUAAUCCCAUCAUGGGGACCCCACCCUCUCGAUCUCAUCCAAACCUCAUUACCUCCCAAAGCCCCCAUCUCCAAAUACUAUCAUAUUAGGGCUUAGGGCUUCAACAUAUAAAUGGUGAGGGGGUGAGGAGAGAUGACAAACAGGCAGCAGUAGAAAACUAAUACACAUUUUAAUUACAUUGUCACCCUAGUUAGGAAGCUAGGUCUGAGCAAUGACUAAGGAGCCUGCCUAGGAGGAGCCCAAAUUAUAAACCCCCUUCAGUUCAAGAAUCAGACUAUAGGGCCACCUGGGUGGCUCAGUCAGCUGAGCAUCCGACUUCGGCUCAGGUCACGAUCUUGUGGUCUGUGAGUUCGAGCCCUGAGUCU